AUUUUGAUAUUUUUUCCGCUAUUUGGUCUUUUGACCAAUCACAUCAGUUCUUUUUCAAAACGGAUCUAAUUGGUAUGGAGCCCCUUAGGCAUCAUUGUGGAGAGAGCAAAAACUGCCAUACUAACCCGUUCCUUGGUUGUUGUUGUUGUUGUUUUUUAUCCAUUCCCCUUGAUUUAAAAAAAAAUCAAUUGCAAUUAUAUUUUUUAAUCAGUUCCCUCAUAUUUUGUAUUAAUUCACUCAGGUUUUUAAUCCACUCAAUUUUAAUAAUCCUCGGAAUAUGCGUGUUUUUCCAUUCAUUGUGUCUGGACCCCUUUGUCAGAAAUUAUGCUGCUGAUGGAACCAUAGUCUGAGAUCAAUUAGAACAGAUUGACUGCAGUGCUGUCGAGGGCAUGAUGGAUGCCCAACUCUCACAAUACGUGCCCAGGUUUGGUGAUCUUAAAUCAGUACUGCAAAAGAGAAGGGGCCGCUCUCCAGGGAUCAAGUGUAUCCAAUGCUGCAGAGAGGGAUAUAGAACAUUUUAAACACUGAAAGAAAAGUAAUGAGAAGUCAGCAAAACUUUGGAAACGCCAACAAUUAGAAAACAGAAUGUACUUUCCAAAUUGUAUGGCUGGAACAACUUGGUGUCAACUCAUUCUGCCAAGUCACAGAUAAAGAAAGGUGGUGAGACAAGACAAUUAAAGGCAGCAAAGAUGGUUACAAUAGCAGAGCUGUUGGAGGUCGGUACGGCACUUUUUUCUUUCCAAAUAGAAAAAGCUAACUAGGGCAUGUUAAUGGUUUUGAAUUCACCAUGCGAGACUUUACUGAGGAAGACCUAGACCCAUCUACUACAUUGGUCGAACAAUACGAACUCAGAAAAGUUUUAAACAUUUUUAGACUAUAUCUUUCCAGCAACAAAAGAAACGAUGCGGCAGAUGAAAGUCUCAAGGCAGCUGCCUCUAUCUCUACAGAGAAGAAUAACAGAACCAAGUACAACAGAAUCGCCAAUGUUUUCUCAUCUGACGACGAAAGCCUGGAAUUGGAGGAAAUCAGCACAGGGGACAUUACCAUCCACCGCAAAGAAAGCCUGGAAUCAGAGGAAAUUGACACAGAGGACAAUCCCAUCGGUCUUCAAGCUUACCACUCCCUCCACUCACCUGGCCAGGAAGAACAAAAACAUUUGCAUCUGCUAUAACAGACAGGAGGCUCUUGAUACCCCCUCACAACCAAUGGUUGAAAUAUCAGGUUUGAGUGACAAAAUACUGGGUGUAUCAAUAUCAAUGGACAAAGAAAUUCAAGUGGGAUAUCCUUUUCUAGCUGAUGAGUGCUUUGCGUGAUGAUGCACUUCCAAUUGAUGCUAUGUUAUUUUCAACGCCGAGGCCUACCCCCACCCCGCAAAGGAUACCCAGAAUCAGAAUUCGUAGAGGAAAUGUGUUCCAAGACCUGAAUGCUGCCAUUCAAGAUGUAGGUGUUUCUGAAGAAGACACCAUUUUAGAGAGAGAAAUUAUUCUACCCAAUGGCACCACAGAGAAAGGUGAGGCCCAUGUUGGAGUGCUGAGGGACGCCUUAAGUGAAUACUGGGAAACAUUCAUGAGGAAGUGAACAAGUGGAACCAUGAAAAUUCCCAUGACAUGAAGGACUCGUGGGAAACUGUUGCAAAAGUGAUGAUCCUUGGAUACAACAUGGUAGGCUACUUCCCUUUAGCGUUGGCCAAGCCAUUUUUGCAACACUGUCUUGGAGAACAGAUCAAAUCUGAAAACUUCUUGGCAACAUUUUUGGAGUCUAUACCAAGUGAGGAAAAGCUCAUCAUCAAACAGUCAAUCCAAGAUUGCUCGUCAGUUGCUGGGAGCACAUGAUGUCAAGAUUCUGAUCAAUGAGAUGAACUGGCAGAAGAUGCUACUUGAAGUCACCCACAAAGAAAUCAUAUCCUGAGUCCUGGAACAGCGUACUGAAAAGGUUGAAAAAGCAUCUUGGGGGUUUUGACUAGGUUCUCGGGAGCCUCACACCAACAUUCAAGAGUUGCUGCAGCUGUUAAACAUGAUACCUUACUCAAGAGGGAACAAACGAUCAUGGACUUUUUAAACAAGUACAUCCAUAACUGCUCAACCAACUGCCUAAGAAAUGUCUCAGAUUUUGCACAGGUGCAGAUGUCCUUGUCUUUAUACAGGUGCAGAUGUACUUGUGUCUACAGCCAUUCACGUCUACUUUGUUGAGCCCAAGAGUGACUUUGUGAGAAGCCCAAAUCACACACACGGAGAUGUGUUUUGGAGAUCCCCCAACACCUACACAUCAUACCUUGAGAUGCCAGAGGAAUUCACCCAGGUCCUGGAUUCCAAAGUGUGGGUGAUGGACAUCAUUUAAAUGUAAGUGAGACCUUUUCUCACACAAUGAACUUUCUCAAUUCAAUCAUGUAGCAUUAGUAGAUGAAUUGUCAAACGUUACCAGGGAGGAUGCUAGUUGCGUUAGAGGGGAGCAGUAUAAAUGUAUCUGUCUUGUUCCACCAGGCUACCUGACCCAAUUAUGUUUUUUUAAACAUUUUUAAGUUUUUAUAAUAUGUUUAUUAUUUUACAAUAAAAAAUCUAAUAAAAAAGACAGCAAUACUAACAAUGACAUUCAUUGUACUGUUGAAUGGGAUGGCCAAUUUAGAGGACAAAACUAAACUUAAACUCACACAUACACAAAAU